rnacentral:rRNA from 1 species
CUUUCUUUGCUGGCGACCGGCGCACGGGUGAGUAACACGUAUCCAACCUGCCCUUUACUCGGGGAUAGCCUUUCGAAAGAAAGAUUAAUACCCGAUAGUAUAAUGAUUCCGCAUGGGUUCAUUAUUAAAGGAUUCCGGUAAAGGAUGGGGAUGCGUUCCAUUAGGUUGUUGGUGAGGUAACGGCUCACCAAGCCUUCGAUGGAUAGGGGUUCUGAGAGGAAGGUCCCCCACAUUGGAACUGAGACACGGUCCAA